rnacentral:lncRNA from 1 species
CUUUGUUCUUAGUAUUUAAUAUAUACAUGAUCUCAUGUUAAAAAAAAUCCUUACAAUGGUGAUUGGAAGAAAAUACUCUAUCCUUGUUUUUCAGAUAAGUAAACAGAAAGAUACAGGUUUCAUAAUUUGCUCAAGGGAAAGCAAAUAACAAGCAACAAACCUGGGAACCAAACUCAGGAAAUAUGCUCCAAAUCUGGGCCCAUGGCUGCUGUGCUCUGCCAGUGCUGCUGUUCUUUCAUCCCAAUAUUUAUUGGCAAAGAAGCUUCUUUUACAUCAUGGUACCGUGGAUCCUGUCUUUAAGAUAAACAAGCUAACAAACAAAACACUGAAGUGUUUUUCAACCGUGCAGAAAAGAUAAAAUCUCAGAAACAAAAAAUACAAUUGUCUAAGAUCCCGGCAGACUGGGAAGAUCUUGCCUGUGAUGGAUUGCGUUAGAAUGUGGAAAGAGAAAUACCACGCAUUGUUCUGCAGCAUUUUUCUUUUAGCUGCCCCUUUGCCAUUUCUUUAAUGUUUGCCUUAUAUUAAUAGUGACUGAUACGUAAUAAUCAACAGACUUGUGCUGUAAAUCCAAAGAGAAAACUGCAAAGAAUUUAAAGAUUUGGCCUCAUAUAUAAUUCUGUCAGAUAAAUGGAAAAGAGCCAAAGAAGUGAAAUAAAAUUAAAGGAAUACUGCAGUUAAAUUUUAUGCAUUAUGACUUUAUGUAAUAUUUUGGCUGAAAGAUGUAUGAAAAUAUACAAAAAAAAAUACACAGAACUUACCUGUCAGCCUAUGUGAAUUGCUGGCAAGUGCCACUGAGAAGCAAAAGAGAAACAACAUAAGUUAUUAUAAUCACUGUCAUCAUCAAGAUUCAUGUGUUAAGUUCACAUAUUUUCAUUGCAUUGGGUUAAAUGUGUUAAAAGUAAAUUAAAUAGGCAUGAUCCCUGUCGUAUAGGAACUUAUGAUUUAAGACAGACUACGACCAAGACAAAUGUAAGAGAGCAUAGACAAGUAUAUGCACCUCAAAGAAAGACAUAAAUUGAAUGAAUGAAAGAAUAAAUAAACUAAAUCCUUUCUAUUGUUUAUAAAUUGUAAGUUGAGACAAAGGGGACUGGCAAUGUCCCUGGCAUGUUCUGAAUUUGGAGUUUAACCACCAGUUGGUCUCAAAAGAAUGAUUUUGAAGAUAUAUUGCUUCAAUAAUGGUGGAAAAUAAUCUCAGCAAAUUACAGGUUUAGAAAGUUAGAACAUAAGAGAUUCUGAACCAAGAUUUAGGAAGCUUUGCUUUGCCCAUGGAUAGAUUCUUAAAUAAGGAUUUCAUAUAUCAUGGGCUCAUAUUUUAGCAGGCAGAAUGACUCUGGACUAUUUCAAAGAAAGAAGUAAUGUGAUGAAAAU